UACGUAGGUGGCAAGCGUUGUCCGGAUUUACUGGGCGUAAAGGGCGUGCAGGCGGUUUGUUAAGUGCAGAGUGAAAGCUCCCGGCUCAACUGGGAGAGGUCUUUGCAUACUGGCAAACUCGAGGGAGGCAGAGGAAAGUGGAAUUCCCGGUGUAGUGGUGAUAUGCGUAGAUAUCAGGAGGAAACAGCCAUAGGCGAAGGCAGCAGCUCUGGGACGUGACUGACGCUGAAGACGCGGAAAGCAGUGGGGAGCAAACAACGG
rnacentral:rRNA from 1 species